GCGGAAAUAGCUCAGUUGGUAGAGCGUCGGUCUCCAAAACCGAAUGUCGGGGGUUCAAGUCCUUCUUUCCGCGCCA
rnacentral:tRNA from 1 species